rnacentral:misc_RNA from 1 species
GAUGAAGAACGCAGCGAAAUGCGAUAAGUAGUGUGAAUUGCAGAAUUCAGUGAAUCAUCGAAUCUUUGAACGCACAUUGCGCCCCUUGGUAUUCCAUGGGGCAUGCCUGUUCGAGCGUCAUUUGUACCUUCAAGCUUUGCUUGGUGUUGGGUGUUUGUCUCGCCUUUGCGUGUAGACUCGCCUUAAAAUAAUUGGCAGCCGGCGUAUUGAUUUCGGAGCGCAGUACAUCUCGCGCUUUGCCCUCAUAACGACAGCGUCCAAAAGUACAUUUUACACUCUUGACCUCGGAUCAGGUAGGGAUACCCGCUGAACUUAAGCAUAUCAAUAAGCGGAGGA